UUCUAGCCGUAACACCACGCUGACCACACUAUUGUAAGAUGGCGCAUUUCGUCGAUGCAAUCGAUGCAAUCGUGUAAACAUUCAAUUUUACUUUCUUGGUUAUAAUUAAUAUAAAUACACGUUUAAUAAUGUCAGAUGAGGAAGUAAUACGCCGGCGAUUGCUCAUAGACGGCGAUGGAACCGGAGACGAUCGUAGGAUCAAUAUGUUAUUGAAAUCAUUUAUAAAAUGGAUUAAUAGUUCUGACAUGGAUAAUACUGUACACGAAAGAACGUUGUCUUCACAGUUGGCACAGUGCGAAUUUGCACAGAAAAAGUCUAGACUAGUCUCAAAUAUGAGUCGAGAUGAGUUAAAAAGCUAUGAACAGCUGUCGAAGGAAAUCGAAAUACAAAUAGAAAAGGCCAAGGAAGACAUAGAAAAAACCAAGGCAGAACUGCAGGAUGCCAAACGUGUGAGGAAAAAUAGAAUUGAGUAUGAUGUAUUAGCUAAAGUCAUUAAUGAGCAACCAGACCGAUUGGAAACACACAUCAAGCUUGAUACAUUGCAACAAGAGUUAGGCGCUUUAAAGGAGAAGUCAGAACAAUUGGAACACAAAUUAGAAAUGCGUCGUAAACAAUUCCAUGUUUUAAUAUCCUCCAUACACUCUCUGCAAGGAAUGUUAGAUGAGGGUAAUGAAGAAAUAAUGGAUGUGAGCUUUGAGAAUGGUACAGAAGGCUCAGAUGUGCAAAUAUUAUGUGACAACUUAUAAAUUUGCUGGUUUUUGGUACAUGUCUAAUAGUUAAGGACACUCUAGUGCCACGUUUUAUUAUUUGUUUAUCUGUAAAAUUUUCUGCACACAUGUGUAGAUUUUUUAUUGAAGAUCCCAAUAUGCUAUCUGCAUCUCUUUCCGCUAUGGAAUGCAAAUAAUUAUGUAUUUACCUCUGUCGUUUCGAGUCGUUUGUAAAAGUCAAGUAGUGUAUGGGAACCACAGCUGAUAGUUGUUACAACAGGA